GACGAACGCUGGCGGCGUGCUUAACACAUGCAAGUCGAACGGAAAGGCCCUGCUUUUGUGGGGUGCUCGAGUGGCGAACGGGUGAGUAACACGUGAGUAACCUGCCCUUGACUUUGGGAUAACUUCAGGAAACUGGGGCUAAUAUCGGAUAGGAGCUCCUGCUGCAUGGUGGGGGUUGGAAAGUUUCGGCGGUUGGGGAUGGACUCGCGGCUUAUCAACUUGUUGGUGGGGUAGUGGCUUACCAAGGCUUUGACGGGUAGCCGGCCUGAGAGGGUGACCGGCCACAUUGGGACUGAGAUACGGCCCAGACCCCUACGGGAGGCAGCAGUGGGGAAUAUUGCACAAUGGGCGGAAGCCUGAUGCAGCAACGCCGCGUGCGGGAUGACGGCCUUCGGGUUGUAAACCGCUUUCGCCUGUGACGAAGCGUGAGUGACGGUAAUGGGUAAAGAAGCACCGGCUAACUACGUG
rnacentral:rRNA from 1 species